GACGAACGCUGGCGGCGUGCCUAAUACAUGCAAGUCGAACGCAGUGGGGACGGGUGAGUAACACGUGGGUAACCUCCCAUCAGAGGGGAUAACACUUGGAAACAGGUGCUAAACCGAUACUGAUGGAUGGACCCGCGGUGCAUUAGCUAGUUGGUGAGGUAACGGCGCACAAAGGCCACGAUGCAUAGCCGACCAGAGAGGGUGAUCGUCCACACGGUGAAGGAGACACGGCCCAGACGCCUACGGGAGGCAGCAGUAGGGAAUCUGCGGCAAUGGACGAAAGUCUGACCGAGCAACGCCGCGUGAGUGAAGAAGGGUGUCGGAUCGUAAGACUCUGGUGUUAGAGAAGCGGUAUCUAACCAGAAAGCCACGGCUAACUACGUGCCAGCAGCCGCGGUAAUUC
rnacentral:rRNA from 1 species